ACCCAGUGAAACUUUUUUUUUUUUUUUAUUGUCGGUAAUUGUCGAAAUCGCAAUUUCAAGUAGUCUCAAGAUUGAAAUUGCUUUGAUGUUUGCGGCUCGAUGAACUUCCAUCUGUUUUAUACUUUCAUGGUACAACUUAUUUACCGUUGGAAAGAAUGAAAUAUCUUGAAUAUCAUUGAAAGGUGAACCAGUCUGCUACUUCAGAAAGCGCUGAUGUGGAGGAAAAAAAAAGAAAAUUCUCCGUAACUAGCAAAAACUCAAAAACAUUAAAAUUUUAUUUUAACAAUUAAAAGUUUUCAUACGUAUAUUAUUGCCGAACUUAAUAGUGCUGUUAGGAGUAGUGUUCUUUCGAGCGUGUUUGACACAGGACUCUUGACAGCCAUUGCAACCAAGAUGAUGUCGAGAAAAAGUCGCAGAAUUUCUUUUUAUAAGAAAAACGUGAACGAAAGUGUAUGCAAAUAUCUAAUGUACGUAAACUUCAAAUCAGGCAAUAUUAAAACAUAUUAAAACAUA